CCUACGGGGUGCAGCAGUGAGGAAUAUUGGUCAAUGGACGAGAGUCUGAACCAGCCAAGUAGCGUGAAGGAUGACUGCCCUAUGGGUUGUAAACUUCUUUUAUAUGGGAAUAAAAUGUUCCACGUGUGUGAUUUUGUAUGUACCAUAUGAAUAAGGAUCGGCUAACUCCGUGCCAGCAGCCGCGGUAAUACGGAGGAUCCGAGAGUUAUCCGGAUUUAUUGGGUUUAAAGGGAGCGUAGGUGGAUUGUUAAGUCAGUUGUGAAAGUUUGCGGCUCAACCGUAAAAUUGCAGUUGAAACUGUCAGUCUUGAGUACAGUAGAGGUGGGCGGAAUUCGUGGUGUAGCGGUGAAAUGCUUAGAUAUCACGAAGAACUCCGAUUGCGAAGGCAGUUCACUGGACUGCAACUGACACUGAGGCUCGAAAGUGUGGGUAUCAAACAGGAUUAGAUACCCGGGUAGUC
rnacentral:rRNA from 1 species